CUCCCUCCCACCUUUUUCCGUGCCUACCUAAGGUGAGGAAGGGACCCCGCUUCUUUGCUGAGAUGGGUAUGGUUGCCCAGGAAUUGGUUCAAUUCUGCAACGACUUGAGUUUUCUCUCCUCCUUGUUCAUCAGGUCAACCAAGUUUUAAAGUCCUCUAAACUGUGUCACGCUGCAUAUGAAAGGCUUGUCAUUCAGCCAUGGAAUGUUGGACAACUGGAUAAGUGAAAGUUACUCCUAAGGGAGAAAAGAGAGAGCAGCGAAGGUGAAGACAGACACAGCUUUGAAUCUCUGAAUCGAAGUGUCACCUUCCUUCCUACCUUGGAGCCUGGAAAGACUCUGGCCCCUUUCCAAGAGGGAGCGAGACCCUUCUGAGCAUGAGAAUCUGACUUGGGCCUCAGCUCAGAGAGUGGAAGUAUGGAAUCAGAGAUAUGGAUGGAAAAGAGAACCCUUCAAUUCCCUGUAUUUUUUAAACAAAUAAACAAAACCCAGAG